rnacentral:rRNA from 1 species
GGGAUAGCCUUUGGAAACGAAGAAUAAUACCCUAUAAAACCAUAAAAGCACAUGCUAGAAUGGUCAAAGUGCUAGCGGUGUAAGAUGGACUUGCGUCUGAUUAGCUAGUUGGUGAGAUAAAAGCUCACCAAGGCAACGAUCAGUAGCCGGCUUGAGAGAGUGUACGGCCACAUUGGGACUGAGACACGGCCCAG